rnacentral:rRNA from 1 species
CAGACGAUGCGUCAUGCAUAUCAAUAAGCGGAGGAAAAGAAACUAACAAGGAUUCCCCUAGUAACGGCGAGUGAAGCGGGAAGAGCUCAAAUUUGAAAUCUUAAAGGGUUUCCCUUUACGAAUUGUAGUUUAAAGAAGUGUUUUCUGUUGAGGUUUUGGUAAAAGUUCUUUGGAAUAGGACAUCAUAGAGGGUGAGAAUCCCGUAUUUGACCUUUACUUUCAACUUUGUGAUACACUUUCAAAGAGUCGGAUUGUUUGGGAAUGCAGUCCAAAAUGGGUGGUAAAUUUCAUCUAAAGCUAAAUAUUGGCGAGAGACCGAUAGCGAACAAGUACCGUGAGGGAAAGAUGAAAAGAACUUUGAAAAGAGAGUUAAACAGUACGUGAAAUUGUCAAAAGGGAAGCGUUUGACACCAGUGUUGUUUUUCUGAAGAUCAAUUAAAGAACUGUUUAUGCUAAGUUGUUUAGACUUUAUCAGCUAACUGUUUAGUUUUGAGCUUUUCUUUAAUGCACUUUUCAGUUAACAAGUCAACAUCAAUUUCUUUUGCUGUAAAAAAGCUUGAGGAAGGUGGCUUGAGAUUCGUCUUAAGUGUUUAUAGCCUCUUGCCUAUGCAGUCGGAGAGAUUGAGGUCUGCAGCGUAGAUCCUUCGGGGCUAAAUGCAUUUGUGCUAAGUUAUAGCAUUUUAUAGACAACUUGUUGACUAUGAUUUGUCUUGUAGCUUACUCGCUUAUGUUAUUUUACCUACGCUUAGGAUGUUAAAUCUGUGCGAGACUAC